UACGAAGGGUGCAAGCGUUACUCGGAAUUACUGGGCGUAAAGCGUGCGUAGGUGGUUGUUUAAGUCGGAUGUGAAAUACCUCGGCUCAACCGAGGAACUGCGUCCGAUACUGCUUGGCUUGAGGUCCGGAGGGGAGAGUGGAAUUCCCGGUGGAGCGGUGAAAUGCGUAGAGAUCGGGAAGAACGCCGGCGGCGAAAGCGACUCUCUGGUCGGAAUCUGACGCUGAGGUGCGAAAGCUAGGGGAGCAAACGGG
rnacentral:rRNA from 1 species